rnacentral:rRNA from 1 species
GCAGUCGCCGCGGUAAUACGAGGGGGCUAGCGUUGUUCGGAAUUACUGGGCGUAAAGCGCACGUAGGCGGCUUUGUAAGUUAGAGGUGAAAGCCCGGAGCUCAACUCCGGAAUUGCCUUUAAGACUGCCGAGCUAGCAGGUGAGAGAGGUAAGUGGAAUUCCGAGUGUAGAGGUGAAAUUCGUAGAUAUUCGGAAGAACACCAGUGGCGAAGGCGGCUUACUGGCUCAUACUGGACGCUGAGGUGCGAAAGCGUGGGGAGCAAACAGGAUUAGAUACCCCCGUAGUCCCUGUCUCUUAUACA